rnacentral:rRNA from 1 species
UACAGAGGUCCCAAGCGUUGUUCGGAUUCACUGGGCGUAAAGGGUGCGUAGGUGGCCUGGAAAGUUUGAUGUGAAAGCUCGGAGCUUAACUCCGAAAUGGCAUUGAAUACUACUGGGCUAGAGUCCGGAAGAGGAGAGUGGAAUUCCUGGUGUAGCGGUGAAAUGCGCAGAUAUCAGGAGGAACACCGGUGGCGAAGGCGGGUCUCUGGGCCGAAACUGACGCUGAGGAGCGAAAGCGUGGGGAGCAAACAGG